UGCAUAUCAAUAAGCGGAGGAAAAGAAACCAACAGGGAUUGCCCCAGUAACGGCGAGUGAAGCGGCAACAGCUCAAAUUUGAAAUCUGGCCCCUAGGGUCCGAGUUGUAAUUUGUAGAGGAUGCUUUUGGUGAGGUGCCGCCCGAGUUCCCUGGAACGGGACGCCGCAGAGGGUGAGAGCCCCGUCUGGCUGGCCACCGAGCCUCUGUAAAGCUCCUUCGACGAGUCGAGUAGUUUGGGAAUGCUGCUCAAAAUGGGAGGUAUAUGUCUUCUAAAGCUAAAUAUUGGCCAGAGACCGAUAGCGCACAAGUAGAGUGAUCGAAAGAUGAAAAGCACCUUGAAAAGAGGGUUAAACAGUACGUGAAAUUGUUGAAAGGGAAGCGCUUGUGACCAGACUUGGGCGCGGCGAAUCAUCCGGGGUUCUCUCCGGUGCACUUCGCCGUGUUCAGGCCAGCAUCAGUUCGGCGCGGGGGAAAAAGGCUUCGGGAACGUGGCUGCUCCGGCAGUGUUAUAGCCCGUUGCAUAAUACCCUGCGCUGGACUGAGGACCGCGCAUCUGCAAGGAUGCUGGCGUAAUGGUCACCAGCGACCCGUCUUGAAACCACGGACCA
rnacentral:rRNA from 1 species